rnacentral:rRNA from 1 species
UACGAAGGGGGCUAGCGUUGCUCGGAAUCACUGGGCGUAAAGGGCUCGUAGGCGGCCAACUAAGUCAGACGUGAAAUCCCUCGGCUUAACCGGGGAACUGCGUCUGAUACUGGAUGGCUUGAGUUUGGGAGAGGGAUGCGGAAUUCCAGGUGUAGCGGUGAAAUGCGUAGAUAUCUGGAGGAACACCGGUGGCGAAGGCGGCAUCCUGGACCAACACUGACACUGAAAAGCGAAAGCCAGGGGAGCAAACGGG